rnacentral:rRNA from 1 species
GGGAAACAGCCCAGAUCACCAGCUAAGGCCCCUAAAUAUUUGCUAAGUGACAAAGGAUGUAAAUAGACGUAGACAACCAGGAGGUUUGCUUAGAAGCAGCCAAGUUCCUUUAAAAAGUGCGUAAUAGCUUACUGGUCAAGUCCAUUUGCGCCGAUAAUGUACGGGGCUAAGCAUUUUGCCGAAGCUGUGAGUUUACGGUAGGAGAGCGUUCUGCUUGGAUUGAAGUAAAAUUGGAAGGUUUUAUGGACUUAGCAGAAGUGAGAAUGUCGGCUUAAGUAACGAAAACACUAGUGAGAAUCUAGUGCUCCGAAAACCAAAGGAUUCCUUUGCAAGGUUCGUCCACAAAGGGUUAGUCAGGUCCUAAAAUGAGGCUUAAAAGCGUAAUUGAUGGAAAACAGGUUAAUAUUCCUGUACUGCACCUGGUUUGGUUAAGGGUGACGAAAAGGGUUAGAGUCAGCCAAUUAUUGGUUUUUGGUUUAAGCUUACGAGACGUUGAUAAGUGUUACUAAAAGAUACUUUGAGUUGAGGAGUAAAUAUUUUUUUACCACGGUAAAAAAAUGGCUUUAGUCUGGUUUCCUAGAAAAACCCUAUUAAUUACAUUAACCAGAAUGCACCUGUACCUUAAACUGACACAGGUUGGUAGGUAGAAUAUACUAAGGAGAGCGAGAUAACCCUUUUUAAGGAACUCGGCAAAAUAGCCUUGUAACUUCGGGAGAAAAGGUGCCUUGUUUUAUUUCAAGGUCGCAGUGAAUAGAUCCAGGGAACUGUUUAUCAAAAACACAGGUCUCCGCAAAGUGGAAACACUAUGUAUGGGGGCUGACGCCUGCCCAGUGCCGGAAGGUGAAGGAAACUUGUUAGCUUUGCGAAGCUCGUGACUUAAGCCCCGGUGAACGGCGGCAGUAACUAUAACUGUCCUAAGGUAGCGAAAUUCCUUGUCGGGUAAGUUCCGACCUGCACGAAAGGCGUAAUCAUCUGGAUACUGUCUCAAAAAGGGACUCGGUGAAAUAGAACUAACUGUGAAGAUGCGGUUGACUUACACUUGGACAGAAAGACCCUAUGAAGCUUUACUGUAGUUUGAAAUUGAUUUUCGAUUUCCUUUGCGCAGAAUAGGUGGGAGGCUUUGAUUUAUUCCUUCCGGGGAAUAAUGAGCCGUCCGUGAGAUACCACUUUAAGGAAGUUAAAAAUCUAAUUGUGUUUCCUUAUCGGGAUGCUUGAACAUUUCAGAUGGGCAGUUUUACUGGGGCGGUAGCCUCCUAAAAGGUAACGGAGGCGUACAAAGGUUUUCUCAAGCUGGUCGGAAAUUAGCUUUGGAGUGCAAAGACAUAAGAAAGCUUAACUGUUAGACUUAUAAGUCAAGCAGUGACGAAAGUCGGUCUUAGUGAUCCGACGUUGCUUAAUGGGAAGGACGUCGCUCAACAGACAAAAGUUACUCUAGGGAUAACAGGCUGAUCUCCCCCAAGAGUUCACAUCGACGGGGAGGUUUGGCACCUCGAUGUCGGCUCAUCGCAACCUGGAGCGGUAGUACGUUCCAAGGGUUAGGCUGUUCGCCUAUGAAAGCGGUACGUGAGCUGGGUUCAGAACGUCGAGAGACAGUUCGGUCCAUAUCCGGUGUAAGCGUUGGAGUAUUGAAAGGAACUUUUUCUAGUACGAGAGGACCGAAAAGGACACACCAAUGGUGUACCAGUUCUUAUGCCAAUAGGACACGCUGGGUAGCUAUGUGUGGAGUGGAUAACUGC